UACGGAGGAUGCAAGCGUUAUCCGGAAUUAUUGGGCGUAAAGCGUCCGCAGGUGGCCCUUCAAGUCUGCUGUCAAAGACCGGGGCUUAACCCUGGAAAGGCAGUGGAGACUGAAGCGCUAGAGUGUGGCAGGGGUAGAGGGAAUUCCCGGUGUAGCGGUGAAAUGCGUAGAGAUCGGGAAGAACAUCGGUGGCGAAAGCGCUCUACUGGGCCAUAACUGACACUCAGGGACGAAAGCUAGGGGAGCGAAUGGG
rnacentral:rRNA from 1 species